CAGAGUUGCAAAACUCCCAUAACCCUUUGUUAAUACUACCUGAUCGUUGCUUAGGCAGGCGGCCCCAGGGCGGGGCCUGUAGCCUUCUUUUAGGCGCCUGCCGACGGCAUCAUAAAACUCGUUUUUUUCCAGUUAUCUGAGUAUAAAUACACAAUGAGUCA
rnacentral:misc_RNA from 1 species